rnacentral:lncRNA from 1 species
UCCAUGAUCUCCCCUGAGUUGAGUGCCACCCUGAUGUCGAGUUGUACAGACCUCGCUAAGUCCCACUAAGAUGUCGUUUUAGUCGUACAAGGAUGAACCUCCCCUGCGUCCCGUCCUAGUCCUAAGAUGUCUUUGAGUCUUACAAGGAUGAACCUCCCCUGCGUCCUAAGAUGUCUUUGAGUCGUACAGGGAUGACAGUCUGAUGUCUUUCAGUCGUAUAUACAGAUCUCCUAUGAGUCAUUUGAUAUAUAAAAUUUCCAUUAAUAAUCUACUUUAGGACAUUGCUCAUUUCUGUGAUCAAUGCAUGCAUUUUAGAAGCAUGAUUAGAUUUUUCAGCAUCUUGUGGUGUUUAUUCGAUUACCGUUACUUUCGUUUACACAACGAUCCCACUGACGGUGAGGAACCUGAGUACGAGGUUGAGCCAGGAGUAGAGGUUAAGCAUGGCAAGUGCCCUCCUGUAGCUAGCUGCAUUAUCUAUCGGAGUAUCUGUAUCGUGUAGUAACUAGCUGAAUGCCCAUGCGUUGCAUCGGGAUUUUAAGAAACUAGCUGUGCCCCCCGCGCGAUGCGCCGACAUCAUCCAAGAUAAUCUUAAUCAUAAAAGAAAAAUCAUAAUAAUAAAAAAUAAGCAUGAUUGAAAACAACAUAGCACAUAACAGAGCUACACAAUAAUAAUAAUAAUAACUCGAUCAGAAAGAGAAUAUCACGAUGUUCUCAAUUUUGAGUGAUUUAAUUGGACCAUAAUAUUUUUUAUAUAAUCAAUGUUACACGAACAACGGGUAUCUCGGUGCAUAAUACAAUUACAUCAACAAAAAUAAAAUAAACAACAUUAGUAUUUCAAUACCUAGCAGAGUAGCAGUUCCCAGGAAGACCAAUCAGUGGGCGAUGAUUAAUUUGGAAGGAUAGUCAAACAAAACUAUGUCCACAGCACAUCACAGUUGUGCCCCCUGCGCAUUGCGCGGGCAUAUGAGGCAACCUAUAAUAACUCAAGAUCAGAAUUGGGCAUAUCACAAGAUAACAUGCAACACUGUUCCACAGUAAUAGCGCAAUAUCAAAAAGGGCAUAUAAUCUAACAAUGUUCUCAGUUUUGAAGUGAUGUAAUCAAACCAAAAGUUUUUUUAAGAGCAAUCUUACACUAACAAACAUGGAUCUCGGUACAUAGUAGACAACAUUCUUAAUUCGAUACCAGCAGAUCCUAGGAAAAACGAAUCCUUGGGCGAUGAUUAAUUUGGAAGGACAACGGACAUCACAUCAUAGAUAUGGCAGUGGCAACUCAUAUUGUAUAUGUUUUACAAUCUAUACAAAUUGGCCAUUAGCAAUAACAAAUAGAAAUUAAGGUUUACUGCUCCAUGACCCAGAACCAGUGAUUUUAUAGCCAAUUCUGGAGAUAUGAGAGUUCAGUAUUCUCGCCAGCUUGUCAUUAAUUAGCAUCGAUCUAUUUUAGCCACCAAUAAGAAAAGGAAAAUACAUCCACAUUUUAACCUUGAUGAAGAGCAUGCAUAUCCCACACUGUACAAACAACAAAGCAUAAUUUCAACAGAAUAAAACAGUUUCUAAUUUCCUAAAGCAUGCUGAGUAAUAUAGCAUCAGUAUAUAAUAGCAUGAGAAAGUUGAAAUUACCCGGACUGGCGGUCACAAAAGCAUCAGUGGAAGCCUGUAGGAAGCCAUAAACCCAUGAGCUAUAUAAAAUACGCAACAAACCACUAAAAUGCCAUCACAAUAUUCAGUUAUCGUGUUAGCUAAGGUCCAAUGUUUGCCUCAUAUUGUGGUCUCUGCCAUGCGCCCAUGCCUGAAAACGAAAAUGGAUGAAAGUGGUCACUGAGAUGCUGCCAAAUAUAAAUAUUGACCCAUGCAAAAAUAUAUGCUACAGUUUAGCCGAAUACCGGUUUAUAUGAUAAAAAAUAGAGUAGGGAAGGUCGUUUAUCAAAACAACUAAUUAAAUAAUGAUCAUGCAUAGGGAUAUAACAAUUGGACAACAAAUAAGACUUCCCAAGGAACUACCCAAAAAACUGAAAUAAUACCAGGCAAUAACAGGUAGAGAAACCCUAAAGAGCAAUUGCCAAGUAGCUGGAAGCCUUGAACUUGAAAUAUGAAAAACAUAGAAAUUAGCAAACGAAGCCACUCAAAGAAGCAAGUACACUAUUAGAAAAUAAAAAAAGAUAAAUGAAACGAAAUAUGCCCAUGUGUUGUUGUGGAUGAUUGAAAAAUCGUAUAGAUAUAUUUGAGAUAGGAUGAUGGCACAUAAAUAUGUAGCUAGGUAUUUAAACAAAAGGAGAGGGAAACUGUGUUGCAUAUAUCUGUUUUAGUAGUAACUGAGCUACUCAUCAUAUAGUAUUGGGAUCACAUGUACCAAAACAAAAUAAAGUUACAUACCUGAGGCAAGGAAAAUAGAAUAUGCAUUUAAGCGUAUGGCAGGAUGAUAUGAAAAAUAGCUUUUAAGCAAUACUACACUACAACAGGAAGCAAGUGGAUUUGACAAACUUUGGUAGAGAUAGGACAGUACUCUUCAUCAACUUUACAUUGAAAUCAUCCAUGCAUUUCUUGGGCAUAGAACAAUGGCCAUGUAAAUUAUCAAUGGUAGAGUAAAGGAUGGUGAAAUAAAUUAAUUGGACAACAUAAUGAUAAAAGGGGAUCAGGGAGCUGACGAACCACUGUCCUGGAUUAAAAUGAAGAUAUGCAAGGAAAAUAAAUAAAAUAUUCAUUAGAUAUUGAUGCCAGACAUUAAUAUUGUUUUGGCAAUGAGAAGUGGCCAAACGGCAACAAUCGGAGGACUUCUUUUUAUUGAAAAAUCGUAUGACUUCUGGCUGGAUGGGCCUAGCCCAAACCUGAAUCAAGAUUAGGGCCUAAUCCAGAUAGAAAAUAAUGGGGAGAUCAUACCUCACUGUCCCAAGGAAGGUGACGGCAGCACAAUGGCUAGAAGAACACUUGCUCCACUCCAUAGCUUGUACCCAAACCCUAACUGACUCACAAGAUAUGUCAUCCAAAUUGACGCUGCAAAGGAUAGAAGCAAGGAUGCUGAAGAUGGAGAAGCAGAUUGAGUUAGGGCUUGGCUUGCUCUGCUCUACUCCAUACCCAUACCCUAACUACAGAUAGAUUCAUCACAAAAUAAGUCAUCCAAAUUGAUCACUGCAAAGGAUAAAAGCAAGGUUGCUGAAGAUAAGAAGCAGAUCAGGCUAGGGCUUGGCUUACCAGACUGCACAUGUUGUCAACACCGUGCAAAGAGGUGGACGAAGGCAACUAUGGCAGCGGGCGUGCACCCUUCGUCCACCUUGAGAAAUUGGCCGGUCGAGCAAGCGAAUCAAGCGGAACGGUGGCGGCGCUUGCAGGUGGCUCGCAAGAAGGCGACGACCCCGGCCGCUAGCUCCGCAAGAAGGUGGCGGCGGCGGGCUUCGCGACUCGCGAGGGGAAGAUGAAGAUUUGAGUAUUUUGGGAAGGGAGGCGCAGAGGAUGUCGAGGAUCGAGGGGAUUGGGGAAGCUAUGCCGGGCGCAGCGAUGUGCAUGUGAGGCGUGGACGGUUGGAUCAAAUCAACGCGUGGACAUCGGAAGGUGCAUGCUGGGUGAUGAACUGUAGUACUGUAGCAUCUUUUCCUGGGCUGAGGUUGAUCAAAUCACUGCUAGUAGUGGGUUGUAAAAACUAAGGAUUUAAUAUGAUAACCCAUCAAACAUGGUAAAACCCAAAAAAAAAUAUUUUCACUGUAAUUAUCAGAUUAUAUCUAGCAUAAUUUUAGACAUGUAUGUCAAACUACAUAAUUGUUCGUAGGGAUGAACAAUAUAUUGGACAUGAAUUAUCUAUAUUUCUAAACUAUUGUAUAUGAUAUGCUAGUCCUCGGGAAGAAAAAGUAUUUUUAAUAUUUGGUUGAGAAUUUCCCUUUACUUAUUUCAGUCUAUAAGAAAGUUUUCUACGACACCCAUAUAUUCACAUGGAGUGAUGGAGGCCAUCAUCCAUUUGUCUCCAGAAGCAGAUCGACAGAAUAAACACCAGAAAAACCAACCUACUAUUGCACAAGGCAUAGAAGCCCAUGAACAGCCCAGCAGCCCAUCGACAUUCCUAACCCUGACUGCUAACUGCCUAACUCCAACCCCGGUCCACUCAUUGCCCCACGCGGCCACGCCCGCACUCGUUCCCCAUUCACAUCGCACACACGCCACGCCGCUUUGGAUCCGGCUCCGUGGCCAGCACCCGCAUCGCCGCGGCGCGCGCCAACGGUGGCGCCGACCUGGCCGUCUUCGAGCAGUUCGAGCGGCUGGUGCGCCCACCCUUCUCUAUCCCCCCUCUCGUCGACGGAUCCCGCCGCCUGUCCGCGACGGGUUCGAGCAGCGGGCGAAGCAAGAGCAGCGGCGGCGGUGAGCUCGGGCGUCAGCGGCAUGCAACCGUGAAGGUCCGCCGGCGUCGGCGAUGGGAAGGGCGGAACCGGCACCCCCUCCCUGCAGGCUGCUCGUAUUUCGCCACCUCUCCGCCCCACACGCACGCGGCCGGAUCCUUUCCCCCUCUCACCGACAAUGUGGGCCCACAAGUCAGCAUGGCAGUUGUGGGAACGGACACCACGGUUGCUGUCUUUUUAAGAUGGUAUAGAUAAUAAUAUAAGUACGCCCUGGCCUGCAGAUCGAACCGUUAAUUUAAUUUACAGCUGCUUCUGUAGAGUAGUGGUGUGCUCAUCCCUCUUGCUUAGGCAUUAACCACGCCUGAAUAUACAUACGCGCAUGUACUCCUAUCUUGUACAAAUACUAAUUACUGCAUGUAAAAGAUGUAACACUACUGCAGUGAUAAUGUUCAGAAAUCACUAGUGGCACUGCUAUUGUUAUUCCUGUUCAGUGUAUUGAUUGUUCUUUAACAGAUUUUUUUUUCGAAAUAUAUAAUCAAAAUACUGCAAUGGCCAAAUGAUCGGAGAUAAAAUUGGGUAAUGUAUAAUCUUUGCAACAAGAGCACUGUGUACCACAUUUAGAGCAGGUACAAUAGCAGGUUAUAAGCUAGCUAUAAACAUAUUUUAAACAGAUAAAGGAAGAGAGAGAGAAGAGCAACGGGCUACAGAUCUAUAGCCAGCUGCAGCACGGACUCCAAAACGUAAUGUGUGUAUGAUAGGUGGGACCAGAUAUUAAUAGUAUAGUAAGCAACUAUUGUAUGAAUUGGCUAUUACAUUGACUAUAGAUGAUUUGAAGCUAGUAGUGGGCUAUACUAUUAAACUUGCUCUUAUAGUGUUCCUUAGAGCAGGUACAAUAGCAAACAUAUUUUAAGGAGAUAAAUAAGGAGAGAGAAGAGCAGCGGGCUACAGAUUUGUAGCCAGCUGUAGCACGGACUCCAAGACGCAGUGUGUGUAUGACAGGUGGGACUAAGUAUUAAUAGUGUAGUAUGUAACUAUUGUAUGGAUAAGCUAUUAGAUUGGCUAUAGAUAAAUUAGAGCUAGUAGUUGGCUAUACUAUUAAACUUGCUCUUAUUAUGAUCUAAAGAGCAUUGUGUACCACAUUUAUAGUCAUUGUUCACUUGUUUCAAAUAAUUCUCCAAUACGGACCGGUCUCAAACUGAACACUCGAGAUGAAAAUUAGUCUGCACUUGCUGACAGUUUUGGCAGACUAGAGUUUAUACUUCAUGUAUACUCAUCUGUUGCUUUUUCUUCAAGGACAAUUGAAUACUGUAUGUUUUUAUUUGAUUUUUAAUCCAUCAAUCAUGCAUGAAAGCGACUACGGGUAUUCUUUAACUCCAACCGUGUCAUUCAUGCAUGCAACAAGUUGCCCUACUAUUCGCGUACGUAUGUUAUGUAUAGGUACAUAUAGAUGAAUUCAAAUAUUAUAAGAAACCGAUGCAUAUAUAGGUGAAAAGAAAUUAAAGGCUACACACUAAAAUUUGUUACAAACUCUAAUGUUUAGCUUUUUAUAACCCACAAGGCCACAAGUAGGUAAAUCAAACGUUCGAGAACUUCUGCUAGUAAGAACUUUUUAAUGUGCAUACAACACUGCUGCUAGGUGGAAACUAGAGUUACUAGUGGAUAUCAUGUGCAUUGGUUAUGAUAUCAACUAGUAGUAAUCAUUAAGAGCAAACUUUAGAAACCAUGACCCAUCUAAGAAUCUACAGAAUCAUCAUCAGCAGCAGCACGAUUAAACAUCGAAUAACUAAGAUAAACAUGACAUCUAAAGUUCAGUGGAAUGGCAGCUGCAGGGCUCCAAAACAGUCAGCUUCACUGUGGAAGGUACCCUAGGCUGGAUGUAUCUUCUGAUAGCCAAGACCCCUCUGUGACCUUCCAUGAUAAUGUCCCUAUCUAGUGGGGGGCAUUUGCUGAUUUUGCUGCCUGGAGUAUCACACCUAAAACCAGUCUGAGAAGCAUCCAAUGUCAAGCACUCGAGUGAAGCUGUACUCUCAAGGAUAUGGCAUGUCAGCUCAACCAAGCUCUUUACAGAGAUGAAUGAUGUAACCGUCACACUCUUAAGGUUGUGAUGCUUCUCUUCUCGUAUUGAUCUCAGAUCUGCAGGAUGUGCAAAAAUUGAAACACUCUGCACGUUCCGCUGCAUUACCUAGGAUGUGAAAGGGAGAAAUUUUAAGUGACAUUUCCACCACACAGCUACUAAUUUCAUUCAUAGCAGUAAUAAUAUAUGAACAGCUACUCACAUUCAAGUCAAAAGUCUCCAGAGAAGGUGCAGCAUAAAUAUAAGAAGCCAGGGAUAAAUAGUCAUAGGCUGGGAAAAAUCCAAUAAGGCCAAUGCUCAAGUGCCUGAGGCAGAGGAAUUUGCUACACAGCUUCGGUGCAAAGGCCGUCUGCAUAAAGAGGUCAAAUUAAUUAUGCUACAACCCAUAAGACAGAAUCUAGUCUCAUUAGAUAUGCCUAUCAUUAGUGUGUCAGGUAAAAUUUCUCAUACCUCUUUGCAUGACUUUAGGGCAAGAGAUUCAAGAUUUGGCAUGAUGGAUGGAAGUUCAGCACGAGCAUGAUAAACAUAACCAGAGCGGACCAUGCAUAGGCUCUUUAUUUGCAAAGUUUCUCCAAGUUUCAGUUCCGUUUUGUCCCCUUGAAAUGCAAACAUGGAGACAUUAGGAGCUUCAUUUUCUAUCAGUUUCAACUUGUCACACCCAAACACCUUCAGGGAGAUGAGCCGUUGCAGUAGGCAAGGUACCUUCAGGCAAACUAUCCUAUUGCAGUACCUGAUUUCCAACUGCUCCAAUGCAAGAGAAUGGGAAAGAAGGCAGCCUAACUCGUUCUCGGUAAUACGCACACGACAAAGAUACAAUCUCGUCAGACUUCUUAAGCCACUAAGUGUGACUGUUGGGUGGAAGGAACAGUUAGAAAGGUGAAGAUAUUGGAUUGAGUCUCCACUCCCAUUCGACAGAAGAGAGCAUGGGAAAUUGUACUUUGCCUGGAACUGGGUCAGUGCAAUUAUGAGUUCUUCAAUCCCUGGUUUAACAGCAAUCUGAAGCCAAUUGUUGAGAUAUGAAGAGCCCUUCCCACUAUAAUCUGAAUAUACCUUAAUCGUCAGUUUUUUCACGCCGAUGCCUGAGUGCCUUUUGAGAAUGUGGUUGACUUUGCUGUAGAAAAGUCCAGCCAAUUCUUCGUUUCCAUAUGCAUUUUUGCUCAACCCCAAUGCUUCACUACUGAAAUUGAGGUUGGGGUGGCAUCUCCAGGAACUUAGAAAGGAAUGAGACACACAGGCAGCUCGGGCAGCAUCCCGCAUUGGCAUCAAGGAAUGUAUAAGACGCCAGAUGUCCUGCUUGCACAAGCAUGGGAGAGAAGUUAACCAUUGGAAUUGUGAAGACAGAUGGUUGAAUUAGAUGGAAGAAAAAAAAUGGUAACUUAUGGAGUUAACACUUUAACCGGUCCAGUGCUACCUGCCUGAUUAUGUACUAUUGUACUAUGAAUUGUAUAGUUGACUUCUGCUAGGCAAAUAUGGUCUUACCCAAAUCAUGUAUUAGGUGCUCGGCACUAUUUGUUUCUUUGCAAUUGUGCCAGAUAAAAUGGAUGGAAUGAUGUUUAAUUGUCUAAUAGCAUGUUAUUCAAUGGCAUAAAAGGAACAGAAAUGGACAUGCACUUUGCAUAGGGUACCAAUAUCUGAAUAUAUAAACAACCAGAAAGAUCAGUUAAAUAUGUAACAGAACUAAAGGUGUGUUUGGUUGCUUGCUUGGAUUUUCAUACACUAGGUCAGGAACUCAGGAUGGGGAAGAUGCGGGGAGUCAGGAUGGGGAGAUGCGGGGAAUCAAACAAGAAUGCCAUCCUACAAGGACAUGUGGCUCACAAAAUUACCAUGUACUGCCUGCAAUGGCCUACCGGAGAUAACAUGUCACAUUUGUUAGCAAGGAACCAUUUUUGAGAUGUUAAAAUUUAAGGAAGUUAGAAACAGUAUGGAGACUAGUGGCAAAGGCUAAUCAUUGACGUUGACUUGAGAAACUCCCAGCCUAAGAACCACCAGCUUAGAAGCAAGCAUUAUGUGGACACAACUUGUAAUUGAAAGUAAGUGCAACAGCUGGAAAAACAGUUCCAAUGCAGCAGCUGUAGGAGGUUAUAGCAUCAAAGUGCUCCGUUCAUAAACUUUAAUAACGUUGGUCGACCGAUUUGUGCGAUUCAAGCAGUAAUCGUCAUAAUUUACUUGUACUACACUACUAGUAAGAUGUUUCAUCAUCAACAUUUUAUUUAUGGUGUACCUCUGGAAGGCUUGGUAUCUCUAUGUCAGCAGCACCCUGAGAAUCGCCGUCUUGUUGGCAGGGUGAGCCCUUUUCUUUUAGCCCGUAAAGCAAUCAAUCCAUCUGCAGCACAAGAUGCAUGGUUUACAUCCAUUUCAGGAAUAAACAGAAAAUUCAAGCAAGCACACCAUUGCACACAUGGCAAUCCGUUAUUUUUUUUUUUGUCCCCUUUUGUACAACAACACUAACAGUUUGUAAAAGAAAUCAAAGUGUUAUCAAUUUAAGGGGAAAUGUCUGAAGUUCAGCAUGUCAUAUAGUAUUUUUCUUAUUUUGCAUAGUAUAGUAUCCUAUAAACCGAUACAAUUCAUCCCCACUUAGUGCAAUUAAUAGUAUUUUUUUGGUCAUCUCGCUUUGCCACAUCACCCCUUAAUUUCCAUCAGAUUGAAUGUAGUGUCUCUCACACAGAAAACCCAACCAAACGUUCCUACGUACCCCAGAACAUCCUACCUCCUAUCGUUCCAUCUCCACUCUCAGCGCAACACGACGCAAGAGAACUGAGCCAUUCGGCUUCUAUGUCCACCUUUGAGUCUCCCUCGCCUGAAAGGCUGAAACGCGCUAUCAAAACCUGAAACAGCUAGGAGUUGAAGUGACAGCCGCCAUGGACAUUUAUUACCCUCAAUAUGCCUUCUCCUUUCCUCUCAAAGGCUCUCAGCUAUGCUGCCAGAUCUUCAUGGGAGAGAGAAAGACGAGCUGUAUCCUCCGGCGACGAUGACAAACUCACUCUGGUCAACGACACUAGCUGAUGAGCCUUCCCAACACAACUUAUCUCUCUCAGGAUAUGCCACUCCCGCAGGUUCAAAUCAAUAUGCUUAUUAUCCCUGUCCUUCCACAGAAUCUUUCCACCCAUGACUAGCUUCAUGUUUUAUGAUGCUUGAAGCUAUGCUAAUCUGGACCUUUCAAUUAUGUGUCUAUCGUAUGCUGCUAUGUAGAUAUGCAGUUACAACUUUAACCACUUUCUGUCGAUGCCCUAUGUAGCUGUGGUUUCAUUGUCAGAUCCUUUUCUUCUUUUUAAGCAAUUGAAGAAUGCAGGAAACAAGACCAUCAGUUGGUUGAUUCGUAGUCUAAGUAUAAUAUUGAGGUGCGUAAAACUCUUAAUUUUGAUGGAAAUUUUUAGUUGGUGAACCUUGUUCGGUAACUGAAUUUUAAUAGCCAUGUUUAUCUGCUGAACCUUCUUUCAUAUCUGAAUAUGAAUUUUUUUUUGCUAACCCUGUUAUCCAACUUGGGGAGCAAUGUAUAUGAUUUUGAAUUAUCAUCAUUAGCCAAGUUCUCACAGUAUUACUAAACAUUUUUCUUUUUCUGUUGCCCACGGUAAUAUCUAAAUUGUCAGCUACCAAGAUAUAUAUCCUCAUAUUUCACAACUGAUUUGAAUGUUGAACAAAACCGUAACUCCAUAUUCACACAAAAAGAGGUUGUCUUACUUCAAUGCAAUUCAGUGUUUUUGCUAUCCAUGCGACCAUACGCACAAAUAUUGUUCUAAGAAUUCCCGCAGCAACACGCGGGUACCUUAUAGUUACAGUGUAGUCUCUCUCCCUACGUCUCGUCAAUCUAGUUAAAGAGAAAAGGAACAAGACGGUGGUGGCCGGCCACCAGCCAUGGCGGAUCGGAUAAACCACCUUUGAUCUCCUACCUUGCGCUCAAUAAAAACAUGUUUUUUUUUCUUUUUGGUUUGUGUAUAUACUAGUACUACAUAUAUACAGAUUCGAAUAAUCGACACAAACUAGUGUGAAGAAAACUAAAUAAACACCCACCCAACGAAACAGGAAAAAGAGGCGCAAGCAAGUCCAUCUGGUUCCCUUCCCCCACCGUAAACGCAAGAAGCUGCUGCUGCUGCCGCCGCUUGACCAGAGAGUGACAGAGGGAGGUGGGAGAGGAAGCUUAUGAGGAGUAGUUUCUUUACCACGGGGGGGAGCUUGGGCUUGGCGGCGGCGGCGCUCCUGGUCCCGCUGGCGCUGGAUGGACAUGAGGCGCAUCAGAUCCAGCAUCCCCAUGGUGGUGAGGGGAUCUCUCUCCGCCGGCCUUUCGUCGUCGCCGGUCGGCACUUCUCAACGUCACACACAAAAUUGGGGAACGAGAGUUAUAAUUUGUAGGCAAGAUAGAUAUAGAUAUCAGAGUUAUAAUUUUAGGAAGGAGCCCAAGCAGUAGGCAGUAGCAGAGUUCUGUUUCAAUUAGGAUGAGGUCUCCCUACGACAACGGGGAAGGAACGGAACGUGUGGAAAACUAAAAAUAUAUUUAUCCACGGACUCCCUACUUCCAAAAAAAAACCAACUUCUAGUUAUAAAUUUAGACAUAGUGUAUGUCUAGAGUCAUAGCAAUAAGUUGAUUUUUUUUAUGAAACGGAGGGAGUAUGUGUCAUCCUAGUGUAAUUUACACUCUAACUUUUAUAUAUAUUAACUACAAUACAAGGGGUGAGAGAUAGGGAAGAAGGGAGUAGUAAAGCUGACAUGUGGGGUUCACGUCGGCCACACUAUUUUAAUUUUUUUUUGAAAGAAACACAGCAAGGGUGGCGGACGGAGCAUAGCGGUGCGGGCGAGCUCAUGGAGCAGAUGGGCGGUAGGUAGAGCCGACCACCAGAGCGUCGCCCUCGCGACAGCCACGGACUCUCCGCUGUCGUCCUUGGUGAGGAGCUCCAUUGUCGGCGGUUCGUCGACGACGGUGGAGGGGCAGAGAUGGCGGGGUUGGAGCGGAGGAGGAGGUCGUUCUCGACAUCGAUGCCGCCAUCUCCACUCGCCCCUACGACGAUGCUGACCACCACGCCGUCAGUCUCCUUCAAGAAGACACCCGCCACCCCGGCUCCGGUCACCGCGCCACCCACCAAGUCCACCAAGGCACCCAUGCCGGUACCCAAGGCCAAGGCCACCUCAUUGCCGCCCUCGUCUCCCCCAAGUCGAGGCUUUCGUCGCCGAGUCCCCACAUCCCCACCACGGCGCACGCCGAGUCGCCGCCGUCGGAGCUUGGACAUCUCGCCUCGCUCGCCUGCUCCGCUGCCCACCCGCGCGUGUCUGCUGCCUGAGAAGAAGAAGAGAGAGAAAGAGGAGGGGAGAGGGAAGAAGAGAGGAGGAGUGAGGAUGAAGAAGAGAGAGAAGGGAGAGGGAAGAAGGGAGGGGUGAGGCUGACAUAUGGGGUGAUACUGCGUCGGUUUGAAGGAGUGGAAAUAGACGCGCUCCAACGCGGCGAGUCAGCGAGGAGGACAAGAACCCUAACUCGGAUCUAGAGGACAACGUGAAGUUGAUGUGUGAUGAUGAGUGUGGCGGCUGCGGUGUCGAUGUCCUCGCACAUAGAGAGCAGCACGAUGGCGAGGUGAAGCGACACGGGCAUCGACGUGAAUGAGUCAGCAAGCGCGGGGUGCGCCUCCACCAGCGUGUACCAACGCCACAUGCAGAUGAGAGAAGGGAGAAGAUAAUGGCAAAAUUGUUGUUUUACAUGGUUUUUCUUCUGUCAAUUAGGUGGGUGACAUGUGGAUCCCACGAUAUUUUUUUGUGUGUGAAUGACAUAUGGGUGUCACAUUUUUUUUAUUCUAAUGCCAUGCCACGUAAGCGCCACAUAGGACAAAGACUCGGUAAAGACCGCCACGUAGGCGUCACGUUAGCCAAAACCACCGAGGGAUAUUGUUUGCAUGGGUUGUGAUAGCUGGAGAAGUCGAUUUACCCGGUUUUGUGGGUGGAGGACAGGAAUCAUACUGGGCGAUAGUUGGGGGAGCCGAAGUAUAAUUUUUCCCUAUUGUUUGUGCGUGUAUAUUUUUCAUCUGGGCUGCCUUUGGGUGAAAUGCGUGGCCCAUUUGAGAGUCCACACCCACCUGGGCUGGCGCCUGAGCCAGCUAAGCGUGACCAAAAAGAAAGAAAGUGGCGGGGUUUUUCAAUUUUGGUUUAUUAGUGGUGAAAAGAGGGGUGUGUUUGUUCAGUGGAAUCCUAGCCGCCCAAAGGAGUUGGAAGCAUCUUGGCCGUCCAAGAGCGAUCCGUGUCGACCGAUUUGGACCAAUCAGAGCGCUGGAUCAAAUUUGGCACGGAUUGAGAUGGUUUGGUUUUCCCGCUCAGCGCUUUGAAAAAUUUGGGGGAUAAAUAUCUGAGGAGGGGAUGGGGCCCAGACGUCAGCCAGGGCCAGCCCCCUCGUCUUCCCCUUCCUCUCUCCACUCCUCCACCACCACCGGCCGCCUCGCCCUCCCCGCCGGCCAUGGCGCUCGUCCUGCCCGACAUCACCGUCGCCACGAUCGAGGAUCUCCACGUCCUCGCCAUGCUCGAUGAGCCGCGCUUCAUCGACCUCGUCUCCAUUCCCGCCGUCCGCCGCGCAGCCGAGUUCGAGGUCGCCAUCACGCCGAAGGUGGACUACGAUGGGUGGGUCUGCAACAAGCUCGAGGAUCUCCGGCGCGUCAGGCGCUUCGACGACCUCCUCACCGACCUCCAGAAGAGGAUCCUCCCCAUGCUCGGCAACAACCCCGACGACAAGGCGGCCCUCCGCAAUCUCCGUACAUGCGGGUACGCAAUGUGGAGCGUUCGUCAACAUGCUCACCCCUCCCUCCACAACCUCGUCGGGUUCUACUCCAACACGGUGACCCGGAAGGCUCGCCAAGCUCUGGAUCCGUACAAGGCCUACACGAUCAAGCAGGAGUGGCUGCACGCCAUGGCGCUUCGGGUGGAGGGAUCCCGGUCUGCUUUCAUGCCGUUCGACAGCGACUACGUGCCACCAUCUCCGCCCAUGCCCACCAUCGUCGUCAGCUCGCUCGUCGAUGUCCACGGCGUGCGCUUCGCCAUCGACCCGCACCGCGUCGAGCUCGGCGCCGUCGACGCCGUCCGCCUCGCCCCGGAGUACCUCCACAUCCUCCUCGAGAAGGUGGAGCAGGAGGGAUGGAUCUGCCCGACGCUCCCCGCUCUGCGCCACGUCGCUCGCUUCGCCAACCUCCUCACCGAUCUCCAGGAUCGCGUCCUCCCCGGGCUCCUCAACGACCACACCGACCCAGCCGUCCUACGCAAGCUCCGCACCUGCGGGUGUGGGAUGAAGAAGCUGCGUGCCGUCGCCAAGGGUCCUCUCCUCCGCUUGACGCGCCUCUUCAGCAACUGCCUCACCCGCCACGCUCGUGACGCGCUCGACGCCCGGAAGGACUUCCGCAUCUCUGCCGAUUGGAUCGAUAAGAUUGCAGUUCGCGUCGACAGGUGUCUCACUAUACCACUUCAUCUUCACCACCACCUGGAGGACCCGUUCGUUGAUCAUCUCCAUGAUCUCCCCUGAGUUGAGUGCCACCCUGAUGUCGAGUUGUACAGACCUCGCUAAGUCCCACUAAGAUGUCGUUUUAGUCGUACAAGGAUGAACCUCCCCUGCGUCCCGUCCUAGUCCUAAGAUGUCUUUGAGUCUUACAAGGAUGAACCUCCCCUGCGUCCUAAGAUGUCUUUGAGUCGUACAGGGAUGACAGUCUGAUGUCUUUCAGUCGUAUAUACAGAUCUCCUAUGAGUCAUUUGAUAUAUAAAAUUUCCAUUAAUAAUCUACUUUAGGACAUUGCUCAUUUCUGUGAUCAA